rnacentral:tRNA from 3 species
GGUUCCGUAGCUCAAUUGGAUAGAGCAUGGGUUUUCUAAACCCAGGGUUACAGGUUCGAAAUACGAAGUAUUCGUGAAUACCAUAUAUAAAAUAUGAAAUUCAUGAACAACCCUGUCGGAAUCA